ACCUUUCAUUCCCCUUUUCCUCAGUCAGCAUCAUCAAUUCACACACAAACAAGCAAACCAGUAAUUUAUGCCAAACAAGACAACACACAACAUCGGGUCCUCAGUCAUUCAACCAUAAUCAAUAAAACAGUAAUAUGUGCACACGAAACUAUGAAAUGAAAACAUAAGACCUCAUACUGCAUUUUAAAACCGUAAAAUAGGCCAAACAACAGC
rnacentral:lncRNA from 1 species